rnacentral:rRNA from 1 species
UACAGAGGUGGCAAGCGUUGUUCGGAAUUACUGGGCGUAAAGGGCGCGUAGGCGGCCUUCUAAGUCAUGCGUGAAAUCCCCGGGCUCAACCCGGGAACUGCGUCUGAUACUGGAAGGCUUGAAUCCGGGAGAGGGAUGCGGAAUUCCAGGUGUAGCGGUGAAAUGCGUAGAUAUCUGGAGGAACACCGGUGGCGAAGGCGGCAUCCUGGACCGGCAUUGACGCUGAGGCGCGAAAGCCAGGGGAGCAAACGGG